rnacentral:lncRNA from 1 species
UUUUCAAACUUUCAUAACCCCAUGAAUAGCUGUUAAACGCCUCAAGAUCCUCGGAGAGCUUUAUUAAACCGAGGCUUAUGUUGUUGUUAAUGUCUCUCGCCCAAAGAAUAUUAUGUACAAACCAAACCAAGCACAAUGAUUGCUUGUGCUUCUUUGAAAGUCCUUUACCUUUCAACGCUUCUAUCAAAUUUUUGUUUUUGAAGCUUGGACCAACAAUGGACACCAGGUCAU